CACGUGCGUGCCGUCGCACCACCAGUGACGUCAUCACCGAGCGCCAGGGCUCCCCGGCAGCGUGAGGGGCCCGCAGCGAUGACCCGCUCCCGGCGACAGGUGGAGGCGGCGCGGAAAAAGCGCGUCCAGGGCCGACGGGCCGCGGGAGUGAAGGGGCUGAAGAAGGACCCGGGGGUGCCGCAGCUCGGCCGCUUCGCCGCGCCCGGGCAGAGCCAGAGCGAGACCCGGCAGGGCAGGGUGAGAACCGGGGGGG